GUGGGGAAUCUUAGACAAUGGGCGCAAGCCUGAUCUAGCCAUGCCGCGUGAGCGAUGAAGGCCUUAGGGUUGUAAAGCUCUUUCGUGGGGGAAGAUAAUGACUGUACCCCAAGAAGAAGCCCCGGCUAACUCCGUGCCAGCAGCCGCGGUAAUACAGAGGGGGCUAGCGUUGUUCGGAAUUACUGGGCGUAAAGCGCACGUAGGCGGACUGGAAAGUCAGGGGUGAAAUCCCGGGGCUCAACCCCGGAACUGCCUUUGAAACUCCCAGUCUUGAGUUCGAGAGAGGUGAGUGGAAUUCCGAGUGUAGAGGUGAAAUUCGUAGAUAUUCGGAGGAACACCAGUGGCGAAGGCGGCUCACUGGCUCGAUACUGACGCUGAGGUGCGAAAGCGUGGGGAGCAAACAGGAUUAGAUACCCGGGUAGUCC
rnacentral:rRNA from 1 species